UACCAGGUGGCCGAUUUAAGGUGUAAGUCUUUUAAACUUAUUAUAGCAAUGCUCCUUGUAU
rnacentral:tRNA from 1 species